AGAGUUUGAUCCUGGCUCAGGACGAACGCUGGCGGCGUGCUAAUACAUGCAAGUCGAGCGGACCGGAGGGAGCUUGCUCCCAAAGGUUAGCGGCGGACGGGUGAGUAACACGUGGGCAACCUGCCCGACAGACCGGGAUAACGCUUGGAAACGAGUGCUAAUACCGGAUAGGCUUUUCUCUCGCAUGAGAGAAAAGAGAAAGAAGCUUUCGCUUCACUGUCGGAUGGGCCCGCGGCGCAUUAGCUAGUUGGUGAGGUAACGGCUCACCAAGGCGACGAUGCGUAGCCGACCUGAGAGGGUGACCGGCCACACUGGGACUGAGACACGGCCCAGACUCCUACGGGAGGCAGCAGUAGGGAAUCUUCCACAAUGGGCGCAAGCCUGAUGGAGCAACGCCGCGUGAAUGAUGAAGGCCUUCGGGUUGUAAAAUUCUGUCUUCUGUGAAGAACAGGUGUGAGAAGAGAACGCUCACACCCUGACGGUAACAGAGGAGGAAGCCCCGGCUAACUACGUGCCAGCAGCCGCGGUAAUACGUAGGGGGCAAGCGUUGUCCGGAAUCACUGGGCGUAAAGCGCGCGCAGGCGGCCAUUUGCGUCCGGGGUGAAAGCCCAAGGCUCAACCUUGGGAUUGCCUUGGAUACGGGAUGGCUUGAGGAUCGGAGAGGCAAGGGGAAUUCCACGUGUAGCGGUGAAAUGCGUAG
rnacentral:rRNA from 1 species